rnacentral:rRNA from 1 species
AGUGAACGCUGGCGGCGUGCCUAAUACAUGCAAGUCGAACGGAGAUUAAGUAGCUUGCUAUUUAAUCUUAGUGGCGCACGGGUGAGUAAUAUAUAGCUAACUUGCCCAUUACUAAGGGACAACAGUUGGAAACGACUGCUAAUACCUUAUACUCCGUAUCUAUAUAAGUAGAUACGGGAAAGUUUUUCGGUAAUGGAUAGGGCUAUAUCGUAUCAGCUAGUUGGUAAGGUAAUGGCUUACCAAGGCUAUGACGCGUAACUGGUCUGAGAGGAUGAUCAGUCACACUGGAACUGAGACACGGUCCAGAAUCCUACGGGAGGCAGCAGUAGGGAAUAUUGCUCAAUGGGGGAAACCCUGAAGCAGCAACGCCGCGUGGAGGAUGACACUUUUCGGAGCGUAAACUCCUUUUCUUGGGAAAGAAUUAUGGCGGUACCCAAGGAAUAAGCACCGGCUAACUCCGUG